GGGGUAAUAGCUUAAGUGGUAGAGCGCAUGCUUAGCAUGCACGAGGUCUUGGGUUUUAUUCCCAGUACCUCCA
rnacentral:tRNA from 1 species